rnacentral:rRNA from 1 species
AACGAACGCUGAUGGCGUGCCUCAUACAUGCAAGUCGAGCGGGGUCUUCGGACCUAGCGGCGGACGGGUGAGUAACACGUAAAUAAUCUGCCCUUCAGUUGGGGACAACUAUUCUAACGGAUAGCUAAUACCGAAUAUUGUAAUGCAUCGCAUGAUGUCAUUACGAAAGGCUUCGGCCGCUGAAGGAUGAAUUUGCGGCGCAUUAGCUAGUUGGUGAGGUAACUGCUCACCAAGGCAACGAUGCGUAGCCGGCCUGAGAGGGUGAACGGCCACAUUGGGACUGAGAUACGGCCCAG